CUGCCUGGGGCACGAGGGACAGCACUGUUGAGAUGUCCUCAGCAUGGACACCCUGCAAGGAGAAGGGAAAGGGUCUUAAGAAAGCUGUUCAUUGUUAUGAACAAAAAUUCUGCUAAUUUUUUUGUGAGAAGAAGGUUACCACUGUUGCUGCUGGGGUGCUGCUUGUGUGUUAUGGUAAUUACGGGUCGUUGUCGUUAAUAGUUGUUUUUGUAAUAGUAAAAGCCUAGCUGGGGCCGAGUUAAUGGGCCUUCUCUGAGACAGUGAAGGGUGGGAACCUCCCCAAACAGUGAGGAGAAGAGACCUGGGGGGGGAAUAUGCAAAAUAACUCCAGGACCAGCAUGCCAUGAGAAGCUACUGCUUCUAGCUUGUUAAAAAAGACCCCAAAACAACGAGCCAACUAAGAGUUGAGAGACUGGAGUGAUGUAUGGACGUCAGGAACGGAGUGCUGAGCCUGCAGAGAUGCUGAACACCUUCGUAGUCCCUCUCACCCUGAGCGCGGGAGUCGUCCCGACGCCGGGAGCGGACAGGGCAAAGCUGGAACAACAACAUCUGAGGGGCCACCACACCCUAAAGGCUCCCACGAGGGCCGCACCCCCGGCUCUGCCCCUCGUGGACAAAGCUGCGCAUACCCUCCUCCUCCUCCUCCUUGCCCUGGGAGACACAACAGGAGACUGCAGACCUGUCGGAGCUGCCCAAUCCCGAGCUGAUCGCUUUUAAUGAAGGCAUUAAAAGGAGAAGUCUCCUGCCCUGUUUAUUUCAUUCAUGACAUGGAUGAGUGUGUGUACCAGCAGGAAGCUGACCAUGCCUGACCACAGCUCACAACACUCUCCAGGAGGAGGCUUGCUUUUCUGUUGCCACACAAAAGAAAAAGAAUUAAUAGUAUGUUGUGGGAACUCAGCACAUCACUCCAGAUGUCCAGAGUUACCGAGACAACCCUUUGGGGGGCCUCAGAAAUCCUGGAAUGUUGCCAGAAGCCCCUGGUGGUUGGAUUUUUACCCUGAAAGGAAUGUGCCACCUGUUGUUUGAGGACAAGAGAGUCACUUGGGCUCUCUUGUCCUCAAUGGUGUAAGAAUUAAGUAUUUACAGGGUGGAAAUAUAGAUUUUAGGAUUUUGGUACAGGAGGGUUGAGAGACAAGAUGGAGGGAUCAGGGCGUGUCUUGUCCUUCUUCUUGUCCUCCAUUUUCUGUGGUGAUGUUGGCACUUUGGGAUUGGUUUGUCUUGCAUGUGCACUUGGCAUUAUGGGUGAAAGAUAUUGGGAAAGAAAGGUAAACAUAUGUACGUAGUUUUUAGUAUAAAAAUAGAGUACCACCCAGUGGGAGGUGAGAGUGCCCUUGGCUGCCUUGCUGGACAGACCUCUGUCGGGUCAAAAAAAAUUUUCAGGAUAAGGAAAAAUAAGCAACAUCAAGAACGUUAAAUCUGAAGACUCCCGGCUUGUCCUUCGAAGCGUGGGCAGUUCAAAGGCGACUCUACAUCAGACUGUACAGAGAAGAACAGCCGAAGCAGUCGAUCGUUUUUAAAGAAUCUGUGGUUGUAAACCCACCCUCAGGACGGGUAUCUAAACUCAAGCAUAACCACCAGACUAAAGAAGAAGAAUACAGGAAAGCCUUGCCAGAAUCAAGGAGCAUGUCACAAAAUAUAAGUAACCAGCCUUUGCAGCUUAAACCAGAGCUGCCAAAGGCAAGUGGCAUGCAUGCUUGGCCUUUUCCAAGGAGUCCUGCAACUACCGAUGAGCGCAGGUAAGGGGCAGCUCUGAGUGAGCCAGCACCAUCCUGCUGGAAAUGGAGUCCAA